UUCACUUUCCACUGAGAACUGUCCUUUCACCACAAGCACUUAAAUCACGCACUGUAGGAACUGUGUCUGUGUCUUUGUGUUUUGUGUGGGUGAUAAAACUGGACUUUUUGGUUGCAGGUCAAACCCGUGGGAUUUUACAAAACCGAAGUGAUACAUGCCGCUGUAAUCACUUCCAGCAUUAUUAUCUACAGGUAUUUUGCCUUAAGGCUCUGGACAUUGUAGUAAUUUAUCAAUAAACAACCUUGCACCUGUUAGUAAUUGUCCGUGUGAUUUGUCCCUGCACUGCACUCCCUUCUAUCCACUCACCACUUUGCCACACGUGUUAGAGUGGGAUGGAUUCCGCAGCACUGUCAGCGCUGCUGGAGCAGCUUGACAGCAGACGGGAGGCUGAGGAGAGAGGAGAGGUACACCGCGCUGAUCGAGAGAGUCAGGCUGGCGAUACCGCCCACAGUAUCAGCGGGACCUACCAUGACGGCCCCAAAGGCGAGGAUGCAUAAAAUGACGGUGGAGGAUGACCCGGAGGCAUACUUGGUGGCGUUUGAGUGGCUGGCUACCACCAUGUCAUGGCCCAGAGAGUUCUGGGCGAGCCAAUUGGGACCCUGUCUGAUUGGUGAAGCACAGGAAGCAUACCAGGCGAUGGCUGAUGACGACACCACUCAAUACGACCUGGUAAAGCUGGCCAUUCUCCGCCAUCUCAACAUUAUGGAGGAAACUCACCGGGUGAGGCUCAGGGAGUACAAGAGGUCCCUGAAUACACGCCCGAGGGUGGUCGCGCAAAAACUAUGUGGGCACAUGGUACACUGGCUCAACCCUGCUCAGAAAAAAAGCACCCAGAUGGGCGAGGUCAUAGUGAUUGAGUAGUUUUGCCAUGUGGUCGGCGCCGAGACCCAAGCAUGAAUACAACGCCACAACCCCGACACCCUGGAUCAUGCAGUGAAACUCGCUGAGGACUUCGAGGAUUCCCUGGCAUCAGCCCAGACCGGGCUACUCACCGCUCCAAUACCGCAGAGCAUCCGAGCACCACCCCCUCUCUCUACACUUCCACCCCCACCACCGGGACUGGCUCAACGACCUUCUAGACCACCGGCCCCAAUGGGCAACCUUGCCUCCCCUCAAUGGAGACCAAGGUUGACAGAGGUGCUGCCCCCGCCCCGUUGCCAUACCAGCAGCGGGACAGAUACCUAACCGUUGUACCCUCCUUUCCCCCUACCUGUUUUUAGGUUCCACCAGCCGGGCCAUCAGGCCAGGUUGUGCCCAUCUGUGAUGGAGUGUGACGUGGCCGUAUGCAAUCUGGCAUCUGAAGAGGGUGUCACAGUGCGAGAGAGACCUUAUCGGAUCCCAGAAAGUCAAAAAGGUGGCGUUCGCAAAGAGAUCGCAUUAUUUCGUCAUUCAUUUGGAAUGGAAAGAGCUCUAGAAUUCGGAGAGACUAUCUUCAGAGACUGAGACCAGGCGGAGGUCUAGAUCUUCCGAACUUCCAAUCUUACUAUUGGGCCGCCAACAUCCGUAAUAUGCUGUAUUGGUUACUUGUCCACCCCCAGCAUGAACAGCCUGAAUGGUUAUAUCUAGAAGAAGCCUCGUGUAAAGCAUCCUCAGUGUCUGCACUAUUGUGUUCAUCUAUCCCAUUUUCUCCAUCUCAGUAUAGCACUAACCCACUUGUUAUUCACUGUCUCCGAACCUGGAUUCAAUUCCGAAGGUCUGUCAUCACUCUCAACAUUUACUCCAACUAAAGCCAAUCACUUAUUUCCUCCCUCACUUGUAGAUAAGGCCUUUAAUAUUUGGCAUCGCAAUGGGAUUUGCUGUCUUAAGGUCCUUUACAUUGAAGGCAGCUUUGCUUCAUUUGAACAACUCCGGCAAAAAUGUAAUUUACCACAAACAAAAUUUUUUCCGCUACCUUCAAAUCCGUGACUUUGCGCAAAAUAAGACCUCCACUUUUCCUCACCUUCCACCUGAAUCCCAUAUUGAUUCUAUAUUUAAUCGCAAUCCCGGCUGUAGUAGAAUCAUGUCAAAAAUUUAUGGCACUAUCCUCUCCUUGCAUUGCCCAUCUCUAUCAUCAAUAAAAAACGCAUGGGAAUCUGGAUCUUGCGCUUCCAGAUGAAGUGUGGGAGUCCGUCCUGGGGAGAAUACAUUCAAUCUGCGCCCGUCAUGGGCUAAUACAAUUCAAAAUUGUACACCGGUUACAUCUGUCAAAAACCAAAUUAGCUAAAAUUUACCCGGACGUGGACCCCAUCUGUGACCGGUGCAAUCGAGAACCUGCUUCUCUGAUACAUCUGUUUUGGGCCUGUGACAGAUUGGUUCCAUUCUGGUCUUCUAUUUUUGAGACGCUUUCCACAAUUUUGGAAAUACCAUGUGUGCCUUCCUCAAUAACAGCUCUUUUUGGAGUUGUACCCAGUGACAGCCUCUUAACGAAACUACAAGCUGACACCCUAGCCUUUGCCACCUUGUUGGCAAGACGCCUGAUUUUACUAUCUUGGAGGCAGGCUGCCCCGCCCUCUCAUGCACACUGGAUUAAGGAUCUUCUAUAUUAUUUAAAAUUAGAAAAACUGAAAUACACUCUUAGGGGUUCCAGGUAGAAGUUCUUCCAGGCUUGGCAGCCUUUUAUACUAUAUGUUGAUCAACUUAAGCUGACUCCAGUCUCAUAGCUAUGCAAGGUAUUGUAACCUGAGGUGCUGUGGUUGGAAAGCGUGCCUCUCUCUCUCUUCCUUCUCUCUCUAUCCUUUUCUCUGUUUAUUUCUUUUUUUUUUUACUAUUUUCUCUCCUGGUUUGUGCUCUGAUCUUGUUCUUGUUUUUUGUAGUUUGUGUUUAAAACAAAAAAAAGGAAAAUGAAUAUGUAUUUGAGAAUUACUUGAGUAGUCACAAGUACAAGCUGUGUUGUUCACAUGUACUUCUGCUUGUGUCUCUGUAAACCAAUAUUUUUUCCAAUAAACAAAAUUGUAAAAAAAAAAAAAAGGACGGCACCAACCGCAUCUGCGUUGAUUUCCGUAAGGUAAACGCUAUUGCCAAGUUUGAUGCCUAUCCCAUGCCUCGGGUCGACAAGCUUCUAGAUAGACUGGGGACGGCAAGGUUUAUUUCCAUUCUGGAUCUGACAAAGACAUAUUGACAGAUCCCGUUAACUCGUAGUUCUUGAGCUAACACCACAUUUUCAACACCAGAGGGGCUGUUUCAUUUCAGAACCAUGCCGUUUGGGCUACAUGGUGCGCCUGCUGCCUUCCAGAGACUGAUGGACCAGAUUUUACAUCCACAUCGUGAAUAUGCAGCAGCGUAUAUUGAUGAUGUGGUGAUUUACAGCUCCACCUGGCGAGAGCAUUUGGCUAGGAUCACAGCCGUCCUUCAGUCUCUAAGGGCACCCCGGCUGACAGCUAACUUAGGAAAAUGUGCAUUUGCCAAGAAAGAGACACAAUACUUGGGAUUUAUAAUGGGGAAUGGCAGGGUGAAACCGGUUGUCACUAAGGUCCAGGCCUUGGUGGACGCGGCAAUCCCCAAAACCAAGGCUCAGGUGAGGUCUCUACUGGGGUUGGCCAGUUAUUACCGCUGCUUUAUCCCCGAGUAUGCCACACUGGUUAAUCCCUUAGUUGACCUCACCAGGAAGAGCGCACCAAAUUCAAUUAAGUGGUCAGAUGAAUGACGGGGUGUUUGAUAUUGUUAAGCAGAGACUUUGCCAGGCCCCCACUCUCAUCACUCCAGACUUCACCAAGAGAUUCAUCCUCCACACCGAUGCAUCGGAUGUCAGUUUGGGUGCAGUCCUGUCCCAAAUGGUAGACGGAGUAGAACAUCCCAUUCUGUAUAUAAGUAAAAAAUGCCAACUCGGGAGCGCAACUACUCCGUUGUCGAAAAAGAAUGUUUGGCCAUCAAAUGGGCUACUCACUCUUUGAGAUACUACCUGCUUGGGCACUCAUUUGAUCUCGUCACUGACCACGCCCCACUCAAGUGGUUAAGCACAAUGAAGGACAGCAAUGCCCGGAUAACUCGGUGGUAUCUGGCAUUGCAGCCCUUCAUGUACCGCAUGGUACACCGUGCGGGAGGGGGGAGUAAUGGGAAAGGUAGAUUUAGCUGAGUGUUCCUUCGGCUCCACUCUGACCUGUGCGGGCACUGUGUAAAAGGAACAGAGUACCCUUAACUAAAUGGCAUGACAAUUUAUUCCGUAGGGUAGGUGGAGUUCGGUCAUUUAGGAAAGGGGCGAAGCUACGAUAUCCAAACUCAGUGACCCAGAUGGUAAACGGUGUGGCAUC